rnacentral:rRNA from 1 species
UACGUAGGGUGCAAGCGUUGUCCGGAAUUAUUGGGCGUAAAGAGCUCGUAGGCGGUUUGUCGCGUCUGCUGUGAAAACUCGGGGCUUAACCCCGAGCCUGCAGUGGAUACGGGCAGACUAGAGUGCGGUAGGGGAGACUGGAAUUCCUGGUGUAGCGGUGAAAUGCGCAGAUAUCAGGAGGAACACCGGUGGCGAAGGCGGAUCUCUGGGCCAUUACUGACGCUGAGGCACGAAAGCUAGGGUAGCGAACGGG